GUGGCACGGCCGUAGAGGUAGAACUUUCCCACUGACAUCCCAUCAUACUUUCCUGCUGUGACGCAGAAUGGUGUCUGACACGGAAAUGCAUAUGAAACAAAGUCCAUUUGGGUCCAGAUUCUUUUUGCAAGGAGAGGUAAAAACACAUUUCCUAAAAAGCCAAGGACUCUGUAAUCUAAGAAGAUUUACAGAGGAGACAGAUAUCCUGAAUAUCUGCAUACUUGCAGCUGAAAGAACAAGGGAGUACUUAAGGAGAAGAAGGCAAGGAAAACAGGCCUUCAUCUAAAUCUGAUUGAAUCUUUCAACUUUGAGAAGUUUGUGUUGAAUUUGGCUGGGGACUGCUUCACAGGAUCAUCACCAAGAAAUACAGUAUUGUCAAUAUUAACAACCAAAGUACCAGUCUUGUGACACCUAACUAAGUUCUUGUCCCUGUCCCUUUGUCAAAAUUUUGACUUCCAAGAAGCAACAAAAUGAACUUGUAGACUUUGGGACUGACAGGUGAGAACAUGCUCUUCAAAGGCAAGUGGAGCAGUGAGACCUAAAGGGACUCAACUGUGGAAAAAUAAAUAAAUAAGUAAAUUAAUACAUUACUCUGAUUGUAGCUGGCACUUCCGUGGUUCUAUUCUGCUCACGUUUCUGGAACAGCUGCUGAGCAAAGAAGUGAUGGACUGUGGAGAUAUGUGGGGACCUCAGCUCUCCUGAGCAAACUUUGCUAGCAAACAGGAACUGACUUCAGAAGAAAAGUUGUCUAGAGUUUCAAGUCAGAAGAUGCCAUUUAACAACAAUCACUGCUUCCAGUGAGAGCUCCUCACUGAAGCCAGCUGAAAUUUCAAUCUGUUCUUCAGUGUAUUUUUCCAUAGUUUUAUUUCUCUUCUUUACUUGGACAUAAAUGAUGGGGAAAUUCCUGUCCCAGUGGACAAAGGAGAAUUUUUGCACUUUCUCUGUUAGGAAAACAGAGUGCUUCAUGCAAAAUACUACUGAAAUUUCUGGAAACGUUUGCUUGCUUAGAAUUAAGUAUGUGCUAAAAACUGUAAGACACCAAUGCAAUAGUUUUCUCCUCCUUGAUUUUCUUAAUUUUCUUUUCAGAUAUUUACUUGUGUCCAUCUUCUCUGCUUUGACUAUUCCCACUUGUAGAUGUGUACAUUUGCUGUUCAUUCUAGGUUUUACUAAUAGGAUGUUUCCAAAGAUGUUGAUCCCUAUAAUGCAAGACAUACAGAAAGUUUAAGGCAUAGCUCCUACUUCAGACAGCAAACAGAUCUUAUACCAGAGACCAUCGAGUGGAUAGGCUAGGUGAGGAUGGGAAAAUGAAGUAAUGUGUGGCUUGGCAGGAAAUGUCACAGCUCUUCUGCAGGAAGCAAUGGAGACAGUGAGUAGCCUGUGUAGAAAUAGAGCAGAAGGAUCUGCAGAUGCUGCAUUUUGUAUGGUCUGCUUCCACCUCUGGGCAAGGUGCUACAACACUGCUGUGUUCACCAGCCCGUACUGCUCCCACGCGCUGAAGCAUUUAAUAAAUGGCUCUGACUGCAGCUGUCACUGAAGGCAGUCUUUCCACUCCUUUGACCACUAGCUCUCAGUAGACAAUUACUGUACUCAGUGAGUUAAAAAUAAAUACAAUGCAGUCUGAGGACACCUUCUGUUUCACACAAGUAAUAGGUAUUGAAUCGAUGGCAGUCAUGCAGAUGAAUUUUCAAUGCAAACCAGUUCUAACUGGUAUUUAAAGAUCAUUAUUUCUGUGCAAAUAUUUGUUUAAAAGUUUAUGUGUAAUGUCCGGUACUGAACACGUCUUUUUGGCUUUCUGUCAGCUUUCUGCUGACAAUGCAGAGAGGUGAGAUGGUGUUCAGGCCUCAUCUGGACAGGCACUGUAAUUUCAGCUGCCAGUCCAACUGUGUGAGCAGCAGUCUUUCCUUGUUUCCCAUGCUGGUGCUGGGGUGAUGGGCAGCAGGCUGUCAGCUCCUCAUUUGUGCUGAUGAGAGCAAGGCCAUGUGCAACAGUAGGCUGGCUGUCCAGACUGGUACAACCCAGACACAGAUAUAAAUGUUGCUUGCUUCCCAAGAUUGCUGAAUUGCAUCUUGGUGAAGAAUUCAGGCUGAGGCUGGGUUUUCAGGCUCAUUUUAUCUCCAGGGCCUGUGCUUUCCCUUUUUUUUCAUCUGCUCCUGUGUUUUUGGUUUGCCAUUUGAUGAGCUUUUUUUUUUUACUGGGACUAUCUUCCUUUUUCACAUAGACCUCCACUACAGAC